rnacentral:rRNA from 1 species
AGAGUUUGAUCCUGGCUCAGAAUCAACGCUGGCGGCGUGCCUAACACAUGCAAGUCGAACGCGAAAGCGGGCUUCGGUCCGCAAGUAGAGUGGCAAACGGGUGAGUAUCGCGUGGGUGACCUACCUUCGAGUGGGGGAUAACCUUCCGAAAGGGGGGCUAAUACCGCAUAACAUCCCGCUCUUGGACGAGCGGUGAUCAAAGCCGGGGAUCGCAAGACCUGGCGCUUGUUGAGGGGCCCGCGUCCGAUUAGCUUGUUGGUGAGGUAACGGCUCACCAAGGCUACGAUCGGUAGCCGGCCUGAGAGGGCGGACGGCCACACUGGGACUGAGACACGGCCCAGACUCCUACGGGAGGCAGCAGUGGGGAAUUGUUCGCAAUGGGCGAAAGCCUGACGACGCAACGCCGCGUGGAGGACGAAGAUCUUCGGGUCGUAAACUCCUGUCGAGCGGGAAGAACAGCGCGCGGGUUAAUACCCCGAGCGCCUGACGGUACCGCUAAAGGAAGCCCCGGCUAACUCCGUGCCAGCAGCCGCGGUAAUACGGGGGGGGCAAGCGUUGUUCGGAUUUACUGGGCGUAAAGGGCUCGUAGGCGGCCAUUUAAGUCGGUUGUGAAAUCCCUCGGCUCAACCGGGGAACUGCGACCGAUACUGAAUGGCUUGAAGCCGGGAGAGGGAUGCGGAAUUCCAGGUGUAGCGGUGAAAUGCGUAGAUAUCUGGAGGAACACCCGUGGCGAAGGCGGCAUCCUGGACCGGUCUUGACGCUGAGGAGCGAAAGCUAGGGUAGCAAACGGGAUUAGAUACCCCGGUAGUCCUAGCCCUAAACGAUGAAUGCUUGGUGUGGCGGGUAUCGAUCCCUGCCGUGCCGGAGCUAACGCGUUAAGCAUUCCGCCUGGGGAGUACGGUCGCAAGGCUGAAACUCAAAGGAAUUGACGGGGGCCCGCACAAGCGGUGGAGCAUGUGGUUUAAUUCGACGCAACGCGAAGAACCUUACCUGGGUUUGACAUUAUGGGAAAAACUGUAGAGAUACAGUGUGCGUAAGCGUCCAUAACAGGUGGUGCAUGGCUGUCGUCAGCUCGUGUCGUGAGAUGUUGGGUUAAGUCCCGCAACGAGCGCAACCCUCGUUCUAUGUUGCCAGCAUGUAAUGGUGGGGACUCAUAGGAGACUGCCGGGGACAACUCGGAGGAAGGUGAGGACGACGUCAAGUCAGCAUGCCCCUUAUAUCCAGGGCUGCACGCAUGCUACAAUGGCCGGUACAACGGGCAGCGACCCCGCGAGGGUGAGCGAAUCCCUUAAAGCCGGUCUCAGUUCGGAUUGAAGUCUGCAACUCGACUUCAUGAAGCCGGAGUCGCUAGUAAUCGUGGAUCAGCAAUGCCGCGGUGAAUACGUUCUCGGGGCUUGUACACACCGCCCGUCACACCACGAAAGUCGGCAAUGCCCGAAGUCAGUGGUCCAACCCUUUUGGGAGGAAGCUGCCGAAGGUAGGGUCAGCGAUUGGGAUGAAGUCGUAACAAGGUAACC